GACAGAGGGUGCAAACGUUGUUCGGAAUUACUGGGCGUAAAGGGCGCGCAGGCGGCUGCUCAAGUCAGGCGUGAAAGGCCUGGGCUCAACCCGGGAAUUGCGCUUGAGACUGGGCUGGCUUGAGUGCGGGAGAGGAUGGUGGAAUUCCCAGUGUAGAGGUGAAAUUCGUAGAUAUUCGGAAGAACACCAGUGGCGAAGGCGACUUACUGGACACAUAUUGACGCUGAGGUGCGAAAGCGUGGGGAGCAAACAGG
rnacentral:rRNA from 1 species